ACUCAAAGGAAUAGACGGGGACCCGCACAAGUAGCGGAGCAUGUGGUUUAAUUCGAAGCAACGCGAAGAACCUUACCUAAGCUUGACAUCCCAUUGACCUCUCCCUAAUCGGAGAUUUCCCUUCGGGGACAGUGGUGACAGGUGGUGCAUGGUUGUCGUCAGCUCGUGUCGUGAGAUGUUGGGUUAAGUCCCGCAACGAGCGCAACCCUUGCCUUUAGUUGCCAGCAUUAAGUUGGGCACUCUAGAGGGACUGCCGAGGAUAACUCGGAGGAAGGUGGGGAUGACGUCAAAUCAUCAUGCCCCUUAUGCUUAGGGCUACACACGUGCUACAAUGGGUGGUACAGAGGGUUGCCAAACCGUGAGGUGGAGCUAAUCCCUUAAAGCCAUUCUCAGUUCGGAUUGUAGGCUGAAACUCGCCUACAUGAAGCUGGAGUUACUAGUAAUCGCAGAUCAGAAUGCUGCGGUGAAUGCGUUCCCGGGUCUUGUACACACCGCCCGU
rnacentral:rRNA from 1 species